rnacentral:rRNA from 1 species
GACGAACGCUGGCGGCGUGCUUAACACAUGCAAGUCGAACGAAGUGGCGAACGGGUGAGUAACGCGUAAUCAACCUGCCCUUCAGAGGGGGACAACAGUUGGAAACGACUGCUAAUCCCGCAUACUGAAGGAGGGGAUUGCGUCUGAUUAGCUAGUUGGAGGGGUAACGGCCCACCAAGGCGAUGAUCAGUAGCCGGUCUGGGAGGAUGAACGGGCACAUUGGGAAUGAGACACGGCCCAGACUCCUACGGGAGGCAGCAGUGGGGAAUCUUCCGCAAUGGACGGAAGUCUGACGGAGCAACGCCGCGUGAGUGAUGACGGCCUUCGGGUUGGAAAGCUCUGUUAAUCGGGACGCGGUACCGGAAUAGAAAGCCACGGCUAACUACGUGCCAGCAGCCGCGGUAAUUC